CCAAAAAUAUUAUAUUCCUUUCCACAUCUUUAACUUUCCUUCCCAUUUUUAUUGAGCAAAAAAAGUAUUUCAUAGAACAUUAAAUUUUAUUUCCCCCCUAAUCAGAAGUGAAGAACGGAUGGAGCUCCAGAGCUUUUCUGUCGGUCAAACUUUCUCAAAAAAGAAUAAGCAAAAAUCAGUGAAUGUUUAUCAGGGUAGCUGCUGUGGUUUAGCCAAUGUUGUUGGAAUAGGGUCCUUCAUCACACUAUUCAAGUGCCCAUGGAGGGUAGCUGCUGUGGUUUAGCCAAAGUUAAUAAGCAAUUGAACCUGCAGGGCUAAUGAGUUCUAAAGAAAAGAAUGAUGACUCCUUCUCAACAAAAAGGCCUGCUGAGAUGAAACUUAGACGACCUGAUUUGGAUAGACUGGUUUCUGCAGAAAAAAGAGAAGCACAAUGACUACAACUUCGAACAAACAGUCAGGAGCUAAAAAGAAAUUCUAUAGUUGCAAUAGCAGCUUUUCAUGUGCAAGAUCGUCAUGCUGAAAGUAUACAAUGCUGCUGGUCCACCUCUUAGAAUCCUCAUCAAAUUUCUACUUUUCCACAGCAAAAGGUGACGUCUAUAAACUUUUCUUGUUAACUUGGAAUUUAUACAUUUGGUCAGGCUAGUAUUAUUAUCAACAUGGAAGUGACUAAGGAAAUACAUACAGUAUACCUUUGACUAGACUAUAGCAGAAAAGUCAACAGAGAAGGGUGUUACUACUUAAAUGAAGGACUUAUAAAAUGUUGAAUAAUAGCGUAUUGGAGUAGUUGAUACAUGUGUCCAUAUAGUUUGCAUAUAUGUUCCUGCCUAGAUUGGAGGUUACUUACUUUGUAUUGAAUAUAUGCUAAGGAAAGACAUUGUGAGUACUUCAAACAUCAACUCUUUGAUUUAUUUAACUGCUAAUGGAUGAGUUUAAUGUCAUGGAUAUUAAUGUGUAAAGAAAGCCAUCAUCUAUGGAGACCGAGACAUCCAAAUCCAUCGAAUGUAACUUCUUUUGAGUACAAUCCUUCAUUUUUACACUUUUGGAUAAACUGUAUUUUAACAAGCUUGACCGUUAUUCUAAGUUUUGCAGAAUCUUCACUUUUCUUGACGUAUCCAUAUCGGAUUCUCAAAAAAUUGACUACUUUAGGAGAAUCCGACACCCAUCCAUUGAAAGUUUUGAAGAGUCCGAGCAACAUAGCCGUUACCUACCACUGUCUUCUCAUUGAUCAUCUGUAUUGGAAGAUAUAGUAUGUUCAGCAACACACUUAGCUUCAAAUUACAGUGUUAUAUGGAAGCUUAAUUUAUACCAUGUAUGAAAAUAUACAAUUUUAGCUAUUCUAAGACAACAAACCAACUCUUUGUUUUGCCCUUGAAAUCAUUAUCAUAUUUCUGCAGACAAACAGUUCUGUUUCAUAGGGAAUCAUGUUUUGCCGUACAAUCUCAACCUUUUGCUAUACCUCCUGUAUAUUGGAUCCUUUUAUGUCUUAUCAAAAAAGAAAAAGAUAAUGAACUAGGAGUAUGAUCUGUGUUGACUGUGUUCUGUGUUUUAGUUCCCUGUCUGACCGAUGUAUUUCAUCAUUUAUUGUGUAACUUUGCAUUUCCAACUGAAUCUGUAAUAAGAACUCCUGAUUAGGCCCAUAUUAUAUUUGAUAUAUGUUUCCUUCUUUGGACUGAUUAGCAAAGAGUACCCGGUUUUGUUUUAAGUUAGUUUUAUUUUUACCUUUGGACUGCACGACAAAAUUGUUAGAAUAACAAAUAUUGUUGUCUUUAAGGUGUUAGCGAAAUGUCUCAUUGUAAAUGAGGUAAGUUCCUUUUUUGCUUGAAGUAGCUUGGAAAUAUGUAGUAGACCUAGUACGUCAAGAGUUAAAACUCCAGACAAUAGUCCCAGAAAUAGUCCUAGAAUUAGUCCCAGAUGGACCCCACCAACUUAUUAUACAGAAAGUUAUCAGCAAUCAGAUAGAACUAACGCAAUAUGGAAUAGUAAACGACAAAAUACAAUAUUAUUACAAUAAUACUAUUAUUACAUAAAGUAUCUUAUUUUUGCAAGUUAUCUUAUUCUAGUUGUACCUCAGGGAUUAUGUCAUCACCUUGGUUACAUUUAGAACAUAUAUGGUCUGGAUAUUUGUGACCAAUUAACUUGCAAUAUCUUAUUUUUAUUUUAUCGAUUUUAUUUCUUGCUGUAAGAGUGAAAGAGAGAUGUAUUUGAAAGGGAUGAUUUUAUUAUGAGGGAGAACCCUCUAUUUAUACAAGAAAACUUGACAUCCUUUGGCCAAAUGACCGACACUCCUACUUUACACCUGACCUUUUUAUAUUCGGCCGACAUAAGAAAACAAAAGACCUACUAUUACUUCUUUACAUAAUGGCCUCUUCUUAUAUUUGUGGCCGACACAAAAUCUACAGCUUCAAUUCUUACGUGCAAGACAACCGAAUCAUAUCACAUCAUCAAACUGAAUAAGCAGCAUCAGCAUCAAUGCGGUAAGGGCUGGACAUUUACUUUUUGUGAAUCACAGUUAAGACCCUCAAGCUGAUUGUCGUGUUCAGAGGAAUCAGUACCAUGUUUGUUACAGGCAUAUUUGGCUUUAACUUUGUUACCAAAUUGAAUUCUUUUCUAAAAAAAUAUAAAAGUAUAGGACAAAACAUUUAUUUUCUCAUUUUCAAAGCAGGUACUGUUUUUAGUUUGAGCAUACCCUCGAUGAAAUUACUCGUUCUUAGAAAAUGCGUCAAUUCCAUGUUAUUUUAUUUUAU